rnacentral:rRNA from 1 species
ACUAAAUAGAUACCCCGGUAGUCCACGCCGUAAACGAUGAGUGCUAAGUGUUAGAGGGUUUCCGCCCUUUAGUGCUGCAGCUAAACGCAUUAAGCACUCCGCCUGGGGAGUACGGCCGCAAGGCUGAAACUCAAAGGAAUUGACGGGGGCCCGCACAAGCGGUGGAGCAUGUGGUUUAAUUCGAAGCAACGCGAAGAACCUUACCAGGUCUUGACAUCCUCUGACACUCCUAGAGAUAGGAUUUUCCCCUUCGGGGGACAGAGUGACAGGUGGUGCAUGGUUGUCGUCAGCUCGUGUCGUGAGAUGUUGGGUUAAGUCCCGCAACGAGCGCAACCCUUGAUCUUAGUUGCCAGCAUUCAGUUGGGCACUCUAAGGUGACUGCCGGUGACAAACCGGAGGAAGGUGGGGAUGACGUCAAAUCAUCAUGCCCCUUAUGACCUGGGCUACACACGUGCUACAAUGGAUGGUACAAAGGGCUGCAAAACCGCAAGGUCGAGCCAAUCCCAU